GGAUUAGUCGUCUAGUGGAAAGACAUAGCUCUUUCAAUGCUGAGUCGUAGGUUCAAUUCCUGCCUAGUCUA
rnacentral:tRNA from 1 species